AUUAACUCCAUAUGAAUUUUUUUUUUCCUAGGUAGUAAUGUUUUCCUAUUCCAAAAAUAUUACCAUUAUCUUAUCUAACCAGUUUUGUAAAGUUAUUAUUCUGACUGUUUUCUUAUCCCAAUAAAUUGAAAACCUAAUAGCCAUCUGAAAGUAGUAACCACGAAGAAGAAGCAGUAUAGAAAUUACAUGUUCAUAGAAUCAGACAUUUUACAAUCCGAUAUAGAAAGUCUCGUAAACAGAAAUCCAAAGAGAAAAAAAAGAAACAGACUUAUUGGAAAUGAAAUGAGAAGAUAUUAUUAUAUGAAAGCGAAUUAAGCACCGGUGAAGCUUGGUGGCUUGUAAGCGAUGAAACUGAUGCACUGGACUUGACGGUUGUUGUCGAAUCCAAUGAUCCUGAUGAAGGCAUUAGGGUACUCAGUUUUGCAUUCUUGAACUUCCUUCAACACUUGAGCAGAGUCAGUGCAUCCGAACAAGGGAAGCUUCCACAUUGUCCAGUAACGGCCAUCGUAGUAUCCGGGGGUGCUUCCGUGCUCACGGUACACAAAUCCGUGCUACAAACACAUGAGAAUUCCAUUUAAAAUCAGGAUUGAGAUCAUGUGAUAAAAGAUGUUUAGAUCCAAAAAAUAUUUUGUCUUCAUUACCUCCAACUCGAAUUCAACACAAGGAAUCCACUUGUUGCGGAGAAGGUAGUCAACUUCCUUACCCAAUUCAACUUCGGUAAGGUCAGGAAGGUAAGAGAGGGUCUCAAACUUCUUCUUUCCAAUUGGUGGCCACACCUACAAAUCGUAUUUCCAGUUAAUGAAAUAUUAGUUCACUUUUGUACAUACUGUUUAGACCUUUUAACGAUCCUAGGUUUCUAAAUGUACUUUUGAAUAGGAUUCUGUUCGAAUCUACCAGUUGCGUGUAAUAAAAGACAAGCCUAACUGUAAACUCUCUAGUGACAUUUACCUGCAUGCAGCUAACUCUUCCUCCGUUGCUAACGAUGGAGGUAAUGUCGUUGUUGGCCUUGCGGGUGACUGGGAAUGCAGAGGAAGACUUCAAGCCGGUGAAUGGAGCGACCAUGGUGGCUUGAGCCGGGGAGGUAACAACAGCGGCGGAGGAGAGCAUAGAGUAAGCCAUGACUACUUCUUCUUCCUUCUCUUAACUCUUACUGUUAGUCUAUUGCUUUGGUCAUCUAUAUAGAGUGAGAACCCUUAUGGAUAUUUCAUGAUAUCGUCGUUAACAGCCACAGGAUUAUGAACGGUGUUGAUACCCUUAUCGAUACUUGACCACAAUGAAAAUGCCACGUGACAGAAAGGUUAUCUUAUCUUAUCGUAUUAUGAAAACGUAUGGUUACUGGUCCGGUCUCCACUUGAGCCGAUGCUUUAGGCUCCUUCCUUAUUUUCGUGGGUCAACUUUUCAUAGAGCCCAUAAGGAUGAGAUCGUGUGGUACAUAAUAGGCCCAACAAUCAACGCCGUGAAAGAAAGUUACAUUAAUUUGCUACCACUUGUAGUUGCACACAGAAAAAAAAAAUUACUAACACUUGUAGCUUUAAGAAUUUAUAUCUCCAAUACGUGUCUCCCUUCGAAAUGUCACCCGGAAUUGGUUCUGCUACGUCAUCACCUCAUUACCGUCACUGAAUCCGCCAGUGAUGACUCAAAUUUCAUCAACUCUUCCGCAAGCUUCUACACCUCCGAGAGCAUGUACCACCAAAAAAUCCUUCCAUCAUAUGUACUAUGCAGACGCAAGCUGACCGAAAAGAACUUUCAACAUAGUACCGGCUCAAAUAUUUUUAGAGGCCAGAGCGGGUCAGAAAAAUAAUUUCAUUUUAUUGAGAAUUUAAAAUAUUUUUUCUGUUAACAAUUUCAUUUUUAAAAAUAUUAGAAUACAUAAAAGGCCAGCUAAAUGUGACAGGUGAUUACGUAGUUUUAAUCAUUAAUCUUAACUUUCUUCGUUAGCUGAUCAACAUGAUAAACAAAUGCUCUAGGUAUAUCUUAUCUAUAACCUUAUAGGAGCAACUGCUAGUAUUAGAUGGAUUCAAAAUAUCUUGGAGAAUGGCUAUUGCUCGAUUUACGUUAGGCGUUUACUUCCUUCUGCUUAGAUGGAAAUUCAGGCUCUUGUUGAGUUCUGCACUCCUAGAAAGACCACAUUCUUGUAACAGAGUGUGUUCAUUUGUUGAACGGCUAAUAGCAUGGCCAUUGCUUAUGCUUUUAUAAUAGUUAACUAACCUGGGCGGGUAUUGAUUUUUUACAUUUUUAUAUAUUGAUUUUUGUUUUUCAUAAUUAGUAUUAUAUAUUUUAGAUGCUUGUAAUAUAACUAAUUGUAUUCAAAAGAACAACUGCUAGGAUCAACAGCUAGUAUUAGAUGGAUUCAAAAUAUCUUAGAGAAUGGCUAUUGCUCCAUUUACGUUAGGCGUUUACUUCCUUCUGCUUAGAUGGAGAUUCAGGCUCUUGUUGAGUUCUGCACUCCUAGAAAGACCACAUUCUUGUAACAGAGUGUGUUCAUUUGUUGAACGGCUAAUAGCAUGGCCAUUGCUUAUGCUUUUAAUAGUUAACUAACCUGGGUGGGUAUUGAUUUUUUACAUUUUUAUAUAUUGAUUUUUGUUUUUCAUAAUUAGUGUUAUAUAUUUUAGACGCUUGUAAUAUAACUAAUUGUAUUCAAAAGAACAACUGCUAGGAUCAACAGCUAGUAUUAGAUGGAUUCAAAAUAUCUUAGAGAAUGGCUAUUGCUCCAUUUACGUUAGGCGUUUACUUCCUUCUGCUUAGAUGGAGAUUCAGGCUCUUGUUGAGUUCUGCACUCCUAGAAAGACCACAUUCUUGUAACAGAGUGUGUUCAUUUGUUGAACGGCUAAUAGCAUGGCCAUUGCUUAUGCUUUUAUAAUAGUUAACUAACCUGGGCGGGUAUUGAUUUUUUACAUUUUUAUAUAUUGAUUUUUGUUUUUCAUAAUUAGUAUUAUAUAUUUUAGAUGCUUGUAAUAUAACUAAUUGUAUUCAAAAGAACAACUGCUAGGAUCAACAGCUAGUAUUAGAUGGAUUCAAAAUAUCUUAGAGAAUGGCUAUUGCUCCAUUUACGUUAGGCGUUUACUUCCUUCUGCUUAGAUGGAGAUUCAGGCUCUUGUUGAGUUCUGCACUCCUAGAAAGACCACAUUCUUGUAACAGAGUGUGUUCAUUUGUUGAACGGCUAAUAGCAUGGCCAUUGCUUAUGCUUUUAUAAUAGAAGCCCAGGUCCCGAUGGCUAUUCUUUUGAGUUCCUUAAAGCAUCGUGGGAUACUGUUGGAGGGGAUGUGAUUGCUGCGGUUUCUGAGUUUUUUCGUAAUGGCCGAUUGCUGAAAGACCUAAACACCACAGCUAUUGUUCUCAUUCCUAAGACCACUACUGCUUGUAGCCUUCGGGACUACCGGCCGAUAAGCUGCUGCAACAUUGUGUAUAAGAUCAUCACCAAGAUAAUCGCCAACAGGCUCAAGCCGAUUCUCAAGAGUUCGAUAAGUCGUGCUCAGUCGGCUUUUCUUAAAGGGCGCAGCUUGGGUGAAAACGUCCUUCUUGCAGCUGAGCUGAUCCGCAAGUAUGAGAACCAAAAUUGCAGCAGGAGCAGCAUGCUAAAAAUAGACAUCCGCAAAGCUUUUGAUACAAUCUGCUGGGACUUUGUCAUUAAGAUCCUCCAGGCUCAGGGAUUCCCUCCGAUUUUCGUUACCUGGAUCAGAGAAUGCAUCUCGUCACCCAGGUUCUCUGUGGCCAUUAAUGGUGAGUUUGCAGGUUUCUUCCCGGGGAAAAAGGGGCUGCGUCAGGGUGAUGCAAUCUCGCCGUACCUCUUCAUUAUGGUGAUGGAAGUACUGUCAAAACUGCUUGAACGAGCUGCUGCUGCUGGACAUUUUCGCCUCCAUCCUCGGUGUUCUGAGCCUAUAGUCACGCAUCUGCUUUUUGCUGAUGAUCUUCUUGUGUUCACUGAUGGGUCAAGGCACUCUAUCUCCGGUGUUAAGAACGUGAUGGCAGGGUUUAAAGACUGGACAGGUCUGGAUAUAAAUGCUGAAAAAUCUGAAAUUUUCUUUGGUGGGUAUCUAGAUAUUGAGGCUGCUGUCAUCAGUGACAUCUCAGGUUUCAAGCGUGGUAAAUUCCCAACUCGGUAUCUAGGCCUACCGCUAUGCCCUAAGAAGAUCAGUUUUGCGACGCUGCAGCCUUUUCUUGAGCGAAUAACUGCCAAGCUAAACAAUUGGACAGUUAAAUGCCUCUCCUAUGCCGGCAGGAUCACUAUGAUCUCAUCCGUCAUUUAUGGAAUGGUAAAUUUUUGGAGCUCGGUCUUCACACUGCCAAAGAGGUUCUAUGCUAAGGUUGACUCCUUCUGUGCGUCCUUCCUCUGGAAAAAUAAGACUACAUCGGCUUCGGGGGCUCGAGUUAGCUGGGACGAUAUAUGUAAACCGAAGAAUGAGGGCGGAUUAGGAAUCAGGAAGUUGGAAGAUUUCCAAUCAGUCUUCCAGCUGAAGAGGGUUUGGAAUUUUUUCUCUGAGGCAAGCUCUUUAUGGGUUGCUUGGCUCCAGCAUAAUGUCUUCGCGGGGUCAUCUUUUUGGACUGCUGAAACUUCUACUACUUUCUCAUCUACGGUCAACCAAAUGCUGAAGCUGAAGCCGAAGCUAAAUGCCUUAAUGAGAUGCAAUUUAGGGGAUGGGAAGUCUGUUAGCUUCUGGUUUGACUGGUGGACUGAUCUUGGUCCCCUAAUCUCUGUGUGUGGCAGGAGAGGUACUAGGGACCUUCGUAUUCCCAUUGACGCUACUGUUAGUGCUGCUGCACCUAAUGGACACUGGUCUCUUCCACCGGCGAGAUCCGACGAAGCUGAAACCUUGCAGGUGGUUCUCUCAACGAUGCAGCCACCAUCAUCUUUGCGCGGAAAGGAUUGUUUCCUUUGGCGGAGUGGUGCUCACUCUUUUCUGCCCAAGUUCUCUUCUAAAGCUACUUGGAACUUUGUAAGACAACCCUCCCCUCUGGUAUCGUGGUAUAAACUUAUCUGGUUCAAAGAAGAGAUUCCCCGCUGUUCUUUUGUCUCUUGGAUGUCAGUUUUAUCAAGGCUGCCUACUAGAGAUAGGCUCAUCUCAUGGGGAAUGCAGGUUCCUCCGGUGUGUCCCCUAUGUUCUCUGGACCAUGAAUCGCACGCUCAUAUGUUCUUCUCCUGCUGCUUCUCAACUGCAGUUUGGUCUCACUUCACGGGCUGGUUGCUCCCUACCACUCCGGAUUCACUCGCCUCUUUGGAAACCACCAUUGCUCUGCCACAUAUUGCUUCCUGCUCGGGUGCUGUGUCUGUUAUUAAACUUUUGAUGCAGGUCAUCGUCUACAGCCUGUGGAGAGAGAGGAACGUCCGUAUCUUUAAGAAUGUUUCCUCUACCGCAGCGGCGAUCGCCAAGUAUGUUGAUCGUUCUAUGAGGGAUCGUCUCUUGUCCUUAGCCCCUCCAGCUGAUGGCCACGACACGCUCCUCCUGCUCUACCUUUCCAUCAGACGUCUCUUUCCACCUUAGUGUCGCUUUCUCUUAUUUUGAUUGUUGUUGUUUAGUCUGUUUCCUUUGUCUUUCUUUUCUGCUUCUCUGUUCUUCUCUUGUAAUAAGUUGUUUAACAACAACAGUGUAUCCUUCUUUCAGAAAAUGGUAAGCUUAACAUUUUACCAAAAAAAAAAAAAUUAUAACAAAUAUAAGAAUAGAGAUCCAUAUCUAUAUGUAUCUUAUUUCCAAUGAUAAUGCACCGAUGUCAUGUAUAUACUAUAUGCUUGAAAUCUAUGGAACGUGACGAUAAAAUGAUGCAAUGAUUUGUUAUUGGAAUCUCUAAUGAACUAAUUAACUCCAUAUGAAUUUUUUUUUUCCUAGGUAGUAAUGUUUUCCUAUUCCAAAAAUAUUACCAUUAUCUUAUCUAACCAGUUUUGUAAAGUUAUUAUUCUGACUGUUUUCUUAUCCCAAUAAAUUGAAAACCUAAUAGCCAUCUGAAAGUAGUAACCACGAAGAAGAAGCAGUAUAGAAAUUACAUGUUCAUAGAAUCAGACAUUUUACAAUCCGAUAUAGAAAGUCUCGUAAACAGAAAUCCAAAGAGAAAAAAAAGAAACAGACUUAUUGGAAAUGAAAUGAGAAGAUAUUAUUAUAUGAAAGCGAAUUAAGCACCGGUGAAGCUUGGUGGCUUGUAAGCGAUGAAACUGAUGCACUGGACUUGACGGUUGUUGUCGAAUCCAAUGAUCCUGAUGAAGGCAUUAGGGUACUCAGUUCU
rnacentral:lncRNA from 1 species